GACGAACGCUGGCGGCGUGCUUAACACAUGCAAGUCGAACGAAGCGAUUUGGAGCUUGCUCCAAAUUGACUUAGUGGCGGACUGGUGAGUAACGCGUGAGUAAUCUGCCUUAAUCAGGGGGACAACAGAUAGAAAUAUCUGCUAAUACCGCAUAAGACCACAGGGUUGCAUGACCCAGGGGUAAAAGAGAUAUGUAUCGGAUUAAGAUGAGCUUGCGUUCUAUUAGUUAGUUGGUGGGGUAACGGCCUACCAAGACGAUGAUAGAUAGCCGACCUGAGAGGGUGAUCGGCCACACUGGAACUGAGACACGGACCAGACUCCUACGGGAGGCAGCAGUGGGGAAUAUUGGGCAAUGGACGCAAGUCUGACCCAGCAACGCCGCGUGAAGGAAGAAGGCCUUAGGGUUGUAAACUUAUGUUGUAAAGGAAGAAAAGAAUGACGGUACUUUACAAGAAAGCCCCGGCUAACUAUGUG
rnacentral:rRNA from 1 species